ensembl:lncRNA
CGCUGCCGAAAGUAUCCACAUCAGCUGUUUCAGUUCUCUAAGGAAAUGAGCGUCAGCGCGUCCUUUAUUUCUUCUGUUAUCAUAGCAUACGGCGAGCUAUCCUUGAUGAAAGGGGAGGAGAAAACGCAGUCCCAUAGUUCAUUGCGGCGCACAACUCGUCAUAAUGAACAAAGUGGCGCAGAUGAUGUAAAUAUUCAUUGUAACUGCGUUUUCUAUUUAACGUCAUAACCUGUUGAUACGUUAUAAGAUCUGUUAAACGCACAGCUGAACCCUGACCAUCACACUACUGGAGUAAAAACUGGUUGUUGAAUUGAAAGAUUAUGGUCUAUGAACUGGUAACACUGGUUUUGUAUAAUCAGUUUUCAUUACAGCUGAGCUUUGCUGUAUUGCAGUCUUCAGGAUUCAUUUGUACUUCGGUACAGGUCAGUUAGGAUAAGUAAUAAAUGGAAGGAAAUUUGACCUCAGUCAUAGAAAUCCAAAACAGUAUAGCAGUAAGUUAUCACAUAAAAUGGAAAAAGCAGUCACAGUUAACAUUUACAUUUACUUGACCCACGACAGCUGUGCUCAGACUGAUGACCUGUCCACGGGGUGCCUCAUCUCUCAGCCUAUGCUAGCUGGGUAGGCUCCAGCCCCCCGCGACUCUCAUAAGGAUAAGUGGAUGAGGAUGGAUGAUCGGCACCAUUUUGUUUAUUAUGUUGAUUGUUUUCAUUUCUCCUUUCAUAAAUGCUAGUCUGACGCUAAAGGAGGCAAUAAAGGAAGCACUGGUGCUCCUUUCAUUAGUAAUUGGAGAACUGGAAUAGCUCUAUUUAUGGUCCCCAGGCAGAUGGUCACUGGUCAUGGCAGAUGAACGUCCCUCCCUGAGCCUGGUUCUUCCAGGGAGGUUUUCAAGUGUGUGUGUGUGUGUGGGGGGGGGUCCCAUAUUGGGGUUUUCACCAUUUUCUUUGUAUUAUGUCUAUGUAUUACCUGUAUAAAGUGCAUUGAGUCACCUUUUGUUGUGAUUUGGAGCUAUAUAAACAAAGUCUCUGUCAGUACUCUUGCUGCAGCAACUGAAGGCUUUUCAGGGAGUUUUAGUCCAGCUGAAAAGUAAUAUAUACAUUAAUUAAUUUCUCAUCAUCACUCUGAGACAGGACAUUUCUCAUUUUAGAGAUGUUGCACAAAUGGAAGAAAGCAGUCUUACAUAUUUGUUUAAUAUGUGCAUUGAAGGACAUGUCCUGGUCAAAAAUGACUCCAAGGUUCCUCACAGCGUUACUGGAGGCCAAGGUAAUGCCAUCCAGAGUAAGAAUCUGCUUAGAUACCAUAUUUCUAAGCUUUUCAGGGCCGAGUACAAUAACCUCAGUUUGAUCUGAACUAAGAAGCAGAAAAUUAGAGGUCCUCCCAAAAGGCCAUUCCUUUACAACUUUAAGACAUUCCUGCAGUUCGAUUAAUUGGUGUGUGUUAUCUGGCUUCAAGAUGGAUAAUGUUGGGUAUCAUUUGCAUAGCAGUGAAAAUGAGUCAGAGAGAUAAGAUGACUCCACCAUCAGCAUCAGUAAGAAGAUCACUUUUCACCUUCACCAAAGCUGAACGGACAGCAGUCGGGGAGCUGGUCCUGACUGUUGUCUGUGCUUAUGCGUUUGUGACAGUUCAGAGUACACGACGUCAUUGGAAUCCUUCGUGGUACUUUAGAGCGCUCCACAUGGGGACUCUGUUGUCUUAGUGGGAGACUUCAAUGCUCAUAAUGGCAACGACAGUAAGACCUGGAGGGCCAAUGAGGUGAAUGACCUGGCAGAUCUAAACCAGAGCGGUGUUCUGUUCCUGGACUUCAGUGCAAACAGCAUUGUCUCAUCAGAUCUGUGGCCACCUUGAUGCUUUGGAGGAAGUAAUUGCCAAAGUUAACUAUCAAUUGGAGAAAAACAGUCUAAAUAAAUAUCAGUGGUAUUGAAAGUCGCUCUACAUAAUGUUACAUCUAUGAAAUUGUUAUUUUUUCUCUAAUGGUUAAAAUUUUAUUUGUGAAGGAGUUAUUAAAGUCAUUACUAGUUAACGUUAAAGGGAUGGUUGGCUCAACAGAGCUCUGACUGUUUGUCAGCCUGGCUACAGAGCUGAAGAGAAACCUGGGGUUGUUCUUAUUUUCUUCCAUCAGUGAGGAAUAGUACGAUGUUCUGGCUUUGCUGAGGGCUUUCUUAUAAAGCAGCAAACUAUUUCUACAGGCUAAAUGAUGAUGAAAUUAGCAAGACACCAUUUCCUCUCCAGCCUACGAGUCAUCUGCUUUAAGGUGUGUGUUUGAGAGCUGCAUCAUGGAGUACAGUACUUUUGAUGUGAGGCUUUUUCAGAAGAGCUACAGUAUCCAGAGUCGCAGUGAAGAAGUUCAAUUAUUAAUAAGAUAAGCAACUUCUGUGGGAGUGGAGUUCAGGUAUCUGCUCUGCACUGUGUUGGGAUCUAAAGAAGAUAACAGUGGAGGAAUUGUUUUUCACAAAGGCCGUUCAUAAGACUGAUAUUAAUUUAUGCAUUUUUAUUUCUGUCAAAUCAUGUUUUGUGAAUUGCUUUUGCUAUUGUACCCAACCUUUACACAUAAGAGCAACUUUUGACACAUUAAAAGCCAUGACAGUUAAACAUGUAAGCUGGUCACUACUACACUGGUAACUGUCAGUCUGAGUGACAGCAGCAACUCUCUCAAGGAACUGAUAGUGUCUAAAUAUAUGCAAAUGAGAAAAGUGAUGAAUAAAUAUGAAAUAUAGUUUCUGCUUUGUUAUGUAGAGGCCAGGACACGUGAUCAUGUGUAUAAGGGGUGCAAUACAUGCUCGCAUAUUUAGCAGUACUGGUUUGUGAAUAAUGUGUACAGAGUGAGAGGAUAAGGCUGCAAUGCUGCCAGUUUUGUAUUUCUUUCUUUUUUAUUACCAGGAAAUGCUGUGCAGAGCCAAAUCACCAAUCCUUUCAACAAUAUUCACACAUGCUCUGUGUGUAUUGAAACUUGGAUUUAUCUGAUUUUUCUGUGCUCUGGUGUUUUCUUGUUGUCUGAAAAAUAAAAACAUUUCCAGAAGCCACUGAGCGACAGGGAAUGUAGAACUUUAUCUUUUGUAUAUGACAGCUUUGUACUAAGCUCUAAAUAUGUGAUCACAAGCAACAAACAGAUAAUAACAGACUUUUAAAACCAGGGUGUGUGAAUGCUGAUUGAUCUUUUUAUUUAUGUAUUUAUUUUUAAUCCUACGGGAACACAGGUUGUGCUGUACCAGCAAAAGAUAUUUUACAGGAUCAUCAUUAAUAGAUCGAACGCGUGACAUAUGAUCACAAUUUGUCAGCUUUUCUGAUGAUUUGGGAGUACCCGAAGAGCCUGUGGAUUUAGGUAGAUGAUCAUUUCUCAGACUUCUGAUCGAAGCUUUGUGCCUGUCUCCAAUGUUUGAGGGUAAACCUGAUAGUACUGGUAUAUAUUGAUUUCAAGUUGAUAUCAGGUGCUGCACUUUAAACAAUCAUUUGUCAAUAUCACUUUUGUAUGAUCAGUUCUUGUCAAGCAUCUCGUAUGGACGCAGUGUCACACUUUCACUACUUCGAGCCAUGAGGGAGAACAGGCAGAGUAAGCCCUGCACACUCUUCUCUUGCUUUGUUGAUGGCCCAGAUUCAGAUUUAAAAAAUUUGGAAAAAUUAAAAAGGUUAAAGAGUGUAAAUUCUUUGAAGAUCUGAUCGCAGCAGCUGGCUGCCUGGAAGACAAGAAUCUGCUUGUACAUGACAUUGUUGUGUUCCAAUGCACAAAGAGGCAUGUAUGUGUUUACUUAUUUAUUAUUGUUCAAUAAGUGACUCAAACGCAGGCAGAUUGCCUUGUUUUCUGGGUUUUUGGUGGGACAUUUCUUUGUGCAUAGCUAGAGCAUAACAGGUGACCACAUGACAUGAAAAAUACAGGUUUGGGAUAUGCACUUGAAUAAUGUGAAUAAUCUAAGCUAAAUGUUUGUGAUUACUUUAUCUCCUUUGAUCCAUUCAUUUUUAUUUAAAAGACAAACUUUUAAAAAAGUAUAUGCACCAAUAAAAACACUUGUUUCCAUACUUCAUAUUGGACCUGCCUGUGCUGUGAUUGGACGCUGUGUUUUUGAAUUUGAAUCAAUUAUUUUUCUACAAGUGUACAAAUGCUCUCAAGGUGAAUGGUAGGAGGUAAAACUAAUGACAAUGAAUUUAAUAAUAAAAAUGGAUACUUUAUUGAUCCCCAUGGGGAAAUUACUUGUUUUUCUCUGCAUUUGACCCAUUCACUCAGUGAAGCAGUGGGCAGCCCACUAAGCAGGCGCCCGGGGAGCAGUGUGUAGGGACGGUACCUUGCUCAGGGGUACCUCAGGGUAGCCGUUAAGUGGAUUCGAACCGCCGACCUUCCGAUCAUGGGGCGACCACUUUACCUACUGAGCUAUCCCUGCCCCUAAUUUAAAUGUAAAGAUUCACUAACAGUGAUAUUAUUCUGACAGUAACACGACCUGGAAGUUCGAGCUUUUAGUAAUAACAUAAAAUGGUCACAUGUUCAAUAAAGUUUCUCAUUAACUAUAACUGUAUAAAACUCAUGAACUGGAUGUAAAUCUAUCUGCGGACCUUUUUUAAAAAUAAAUAAAAUUGUUUGGUAGAGAUGUGGCAUAUGUGCAUGGCUCAUAUAAAACUCUCACACAUUGGCACACAUGAAAAGACAAAAGAAAAGACAAGAAAUUCUAGUAUUCUAACCAUGACUCAGAACUCCAAUCUGGCUUUGUUUUACAGGAAAAUUGAUACAAAUUUGCCAUUUCACUCUAUUUUUGUAUUUCUAACACUGACCUUACUUUUACACCUAUGCAUACGUCUUCAUUGUGCCACAGUCUUGUAGUGAGGUGAUGACAGUAACGUCUCCUGAGCACCUCCUAUUUUUCACUAGUUCUAAGAUUAAACUAAGCACGUUCCCAAUAAUGCUGUAAAUGAGUGGUUUUUAUGCGUAAUAAACAAGGAACAACCAAACCCAAGCCUUUUUUUUCAGUGAAUAUGCACAUUGGUUAAUUUUUUUCUUUGUUUUUGGCUUUUAUUUCCUGGUGUUCUGCUUUAAUAUUGUUUAUCUGAGUUACUGACUGCAUUACAGCUUUCGUGCAAUUCUCACAGCAUUACAAUUAAUGCAGUUCUCAAAUCACACUUUUAUUAUUUUACUCACACGUUUACUGUGCACUUCUCACUUGAAUCUGACAACUCAUCAGAGCAGUUUGCACUUUUGUGAAUCAUAACUCUGGGUCACUGAGGUUCCUGAAUACUUAACAGCAUUGUAUUCACGUUUUCAAUCAUGACUUCAAACCUUUUUCAAAUAUGUUUGAAAGAACAAACACAGUAACACACUUUCAGCAGUUUAUUGCAACAAAUAGAAACACAAACUUUCAUUUUUGUGUCAAAGCUGUUCAUCCAAAUUUCCAAUUUGUCAGGUGAACUGAACUUCAGGUAAGAAGUUAUGACCUGCAGUCCAUCUGGGUCAGAUAUGAACCAAGUUUAGGUGGAGUUUAUUUUCGUUGUGCUGACUUUUUCGUACUGCGUGCUAGCUAGCAUGACGGAGUUUCUAUACAGCUGGGUGGUGCUAUGUUACUGAUGUUGAACUUUAUUUUGUUCAUAAGGUUAAUUAUUAUGAUGCAAACCAUCCCCUAAAAAAAGAAUCGUCUCGUAUUCAGAGAAAA